AGCCUAAACCAAGGGAGUUUACUCCUUUGGGGUUGUGGGACUUCCACAUAGGUACGACCAAGAGAAGCUAAUCAGUUUGGAAAACUGAACCAGAGAGGGUGAUAGUCCCGUAAGUGUAAUCGAGGCAGGCCUGGAAGUAUCCCAAGUAAUGCGGGACACGUGAAACCCUGCAUGAAUCUAGGCGGACCACCGUCUAAGGCUAAAUACUAACUGGAGACCGAUAGUGAACAAGUACCGUGAGGGAAAGGUGAAAAGGACCCCUGCUAGGGGAGUUUAAAGUUCCUGAAACCAUGUGCCUACAAAGUGUGGGAGCGUCUUUAUGGCGUGACCGCGUGCCUUUUGCAUAAUGAGUCUGCGAGUUAUUGUCAGUGGCAAGUCUAAGUUCUAAUGGAACGUAGGCGAAGCGAAAGCGAGUGUGAAUAGCGCGUCCAGUCGCUGGCGAUAGACCCGAAGCGGAGGUGAUCUAACCAUGGGCAGGUUGAAGCUGCAGUAACAUGCAGUGAAGGACCGAACCGUUGUACGUUGAAAAGUGCUCGGAUGACCUGUGGUUAGGAGUGAAAGGCUAAUCAAACCCCGUAAUAGCUGGUUCUCUCCGAAAUAGCUUUAGGGCUAGCGUCGGGUAAGUACGCCGAGGAGGUAGAGCACUGAUAGGCUUAGGGUCCCUAACCGGAUACCAAAACCUGUUAAACUCCGAAUGCCUCGGAUCCCAUUACCCCGGCAGUCAGUCGAUGAGUGAUAAGAUCCAUCGUCGAGAGGGAAACAACCCAGAUCAGCGGCUAAGGUGCCAAAAUACCGUUCAGUGGUAAGGAGGUGAAGUGACAUAGACAGUGAGGAUGUUGGCUUAGAAGCAGCCACCAUUUAAACAGUGCGUAACAGCUGACUCAUCGAGUUACUUCGCGCCGAAAAUGAUUGGCGAUAAACGGUAUACCGACGCCCUGGGUGUCUUCGGACACGGUAGGAGAGCGUAGUCUUUGCGUCGAAGCUGUUCUGUAAAGAGCGGUGAAGCGGAGACUAGCGAGAAUGCAGACAUGAGUAGCGAUAAACAAAGUGAGAAUCUUUGUCUCCGUAAACCUAAGGUUUCCUGGGCCAGGCUCGUCCUCCCAGGGUUAGCCGGGACCUAAGGCGAGGCCGAAAGGCGUAGUCGAUGGAUAUCAGGUUAAUAUUCCUGAGCUAAAGCGCAACAUGGGACGCAUGACAGUAAGGUAACACACACUAUGAUAUGUGAGUUUAGGCUUCGGCCGAAACACGUUACCCUAAGUUGUGCCGAGAAAACCGCGCAGGCCCGUACCUAAACCGACACAGGUAGGUGAGUCGAAUAGACUAAGGAGCGCGAGAGAAAUCUCUCCAAGGAACUCGGCAAAUUAGCCCCGUAACUUCGGAAGAAGGGGUGCCCAUUUCGGUGGGCCACAGUAAAUUGGGACUGGCGACUGUUUACCAAAAACACAGCUCUCUGCAAAGUCGUGAAGACGACGUAUAGGGAGUGACACGUGACCAAUGCGAAAAGAUUAAGGUGACUUGUUAGCCCUUGAGGCGAAGCUCGGAGCCCAAGUCCUCGUGAAUGUCGGCCGUAACUAUAACGGUCCUAAGGUAGCGAAAUUCCUUGUCGGGUAAGUUCCGACCUGCACGAAUCGUGCAACGACCGGUCCGCUGUCUCGGAGAGAAUCUCGGCGAAGUUGUAAUUGCGGUGAAGAUGCCGCAUACCCGCAGUAGGACGGAAAGACCCUGUACACCUUUACUAUAAGCAAGUAUUGGCUUUUGAUUAGUGAUGCGUAGCGUAGGUGGGAGACUUUGAAGUGAUGGCUUAGGUUGUCAUGGAGUCGAAAUGUGAAACACCACUCUUUACUACUUAGAAUUCUAACAAUGAUUUCUCUGAAGCGAGACAUUGAACAGUGCUUGCGGGUUAGUUUGACUGGGGCGGUUUCCUCCCAAAAAGUAACGGAGGAGCACUAAGGUACCUUCAGCAUGGUUAGUAACCAUGCGUAGAGCGUAUGCGUAGAAGGGUGCUUGACUGUGAGACCUACAAGUCGAGCAGGUACGAAAGUAGGUGCAAAUGAUCCGGUGGUAUGAAUGUGGAAUUGCCAUCGCUCAACGGACAAAAGGUACGUCAGGGAUAACAGGCUGAUCGCGCCCAAGAGUUCAUAUCGACGGCGC
rnacentral:rRNA from 1 species